AGCUCAGUUGGUAGAGCAAUGCACUGAAAAUGCAUGGGUCCAGUUCAAGUCCCUUAGCCC
rnacentral:tRNA from 1 species